rnacentral:misc_RNA from 1 species
GAUGAAGAACGUAGCGAAAUGCGAUAAGUAAUGCGAAUUGCAGAAUCCGUGAGUCAUCGAAUCUUUGAACGCACAUUGCGCCCCCUGGUAUUCCGGGGGGCAUGCCUGUCCGAGCGUCAUUACAACCCUCAAGCUCAGCUUGGUGUUGGGCCCCGCCGCCCCGGCGGGCCCUAAAGUCAGUGGCGGUGCCGUCCGGCUCCGAGCGUAGUAAUUCUUCUCGCUCUGGAGGUCCGGUCGUGUGCUCGCCAGCAACCCCCAAUUUUUUUCAGGUUGACCUCGGAUCAGGUAGGGAUACCCGCUGAACUUAAGCAUAUCAAUAAGCGGAGGA